UACGAAGGGGGCUAGCGUUGCUCGGAAUGACUGGGCGUAAAGGGCGCGUAGGCGGAUGGCACAGUCAGAUGUGAAAUUCCCGGGCUUAACCUGGGGGCUGCAUUUUGAUACGUGUUGUCUAGAGUGAGGAAGAGGGUUGUGGAAUUCCCAGUGUAGAGGUGAAAUUCGUAGAUAUUGGGAAGAACACCGGUGGCGAAGGCGGCAACCUGGUCCUUGACUGACGCUGAGGCGCGAAAGCGUGGGGGAGCAAACAGG
rnacentral:rRNA from 1 species